rnacentral:rRNA from 1 species
UACGGAGGGUGCAAGCGUUGUUCGGAAUUACUGGGCGUAAAGCGCGUGUAGGCGGUCGGGUAAGUCAGAUGUGAAAGCCUUCCGCUUAACGGAAGAAGGGCAUUUGAAACUACCCGGCUGGAGUACGGGAGAGGAGAGUGGAAUUCCCGGUGUAGAGGUGAAAUUCGUAGAUAUCGGGAGGAACACCAGUGGCGAAGGCGGCUCUCUGGCCCGAUACUGACGCUGAGACGCGAAAGCGUGGGGAGCAAAC